AGGCCGGUAGACAUCAGAAGAAAUCACAAGUCUGAGUGGCUGUGCUGCAGGACACAGUUCCGUUCUGAGUGUGGGAGGACGGCUCCGAGUAGCCCUCGCACAGUGGGGCGUGGGGGAAGGCAGCCUCCCUGAAGGGUGUUCCCUGGUAGAAUGAGGUGAUUCUAAGGCCCUGGGACUGGAGGAGAAGCCCAGAAGGCAUCCAGAACAGCUCCAGAGGACACAGCACAGAGAAAGGACAGAUGCUGUGUGGACACCUACUGUGUGCCAGAGGCUG
rnacentral:lncRNA from 1 species